GACUAACGCUGGCGGCAUGCAUCAUACAUGCAAGUCGAACGGCAGCACGGGGGCAACCCUGGUGGCGAGUGGCGAACGGGUGAGUAAUAUAUCGGAACGUACCCUGGAGUGGGGGAUAACGUAGCGAAAGUUACGCUAAUACCGCAUACGAUCUAAGGAUGAAAGUGGGGGAUCGCAAGACCUCAUGCUCCUGGAGCGGCCGAUAUCUGAUUAGCUAGUUGGUGGGGUAAAGGCCUACCAAGGCAUCGAUCAGUAGCUGGUCUGAGAGGACGACCAGCCACACUGGGACUGAGACACGGCCCAGACUCCUACGGGAGGCAGCAGUGGGGAAUUUUGGACAAUGGGGGCAACCCUGAUCCAGCAAUGCCGCGUGAGUGAAGAAGGCC
rnacentral:rRNA from 1 species